rnacentral:rRNA from 1 species
AUAGAGACUCAGAGCUGCAUAUCAAUAAGCGGAGGAAAAGAAACCUAACAAGGAUUCCCUUAGUAACGGCGAGUGAAGCGGGAAGAGCUCAAAUUUGAAAUCUUCAAGGUUUUACCUUGACGAAUUGUAGUUUAAAGAAGUGUUUUCUGUUGGAGUUUUGGUAAAAGUUCUUUGGAAUAGGACAUCAUAGAGGGUGAGAAUCCCGUAUUUGACCAUUAUUUCCAGCUUUGUGAUACACUUUCAAAGAGUCGGAUUGUUUGGGAAUGCAGUCCAAAAUGGGUGGUAAAUUUCAUCUAAAGCUAAAUAUUGGCGAGAGACCGAUAGCGAACAAGUACCGUGAGGGAAAGAUGAAAAGAACUUUGAAAAGAGAGUUAAACAGUACGUGAAAUUGUCAAAAGGGAAGCGUUUGACACCAGUGUUGUUUUUCCGAAAAUCAAUUACGAAUGUUUUGUUUUUGAGAAGUUAUGACUUCAUCGGCUUGCUUCUCUCUUUACGAAACUUUCUUAAUGCACUUUUCGGUUAACAAGUCAACAUCAAUUUCUUUUGUUGUAAAAGGGUAUGAGGAAGGUGGCUUUCUUUUCGGAGAAAGUGUUUAUAGCCUUGUACCUCUGCAAUCGGAGAGAUUGAGGUCUGCAGCGUAGAUCCUUCGGGGUUAGAUACAUUUGUGCUAAGUUAUAGCUUUUCAUAGACAACUUGUUGACUAUGUUUAGUCUUGUAGCUUACUCGCUUAUGCUAUUUUACCUACGCUUAGGAUGUUGAUAGUCACAGCGUGUAC